CCUACGGGCGGCAGCAGUGAGGAAUAUUGGUCAAUGGACGAGAGUCUGAACCAGCCAAGUAGCGUGAAGGAUGACUGCCCUAUGGGUUGUAAACUUCUUUUAUAUGGGAAUAAAAUGUUCCACGUGUGGGAUUUUGUAUGUACCAUAUGAAUAAGGAUCGGCUAACUCCGUGCCAGCAGCCGCGGUAAUACGGAGGAUCCGAGCGUUAUCCGGAUUUAUUGGGUUUAAAGGGAGCGUAGGUGGAUUGUUAAGUCAGUUGUGAAAGUUUGCGGCUCAACCGGAAAAUUGCAGUUGAAACUGGCAGUCUUGAGUACAGUAGAGGUGGGCGGAAUUCGUGGUGUAGCGGUGAAAUGCUUAGAUAUAACGAAGAACUCCGAUUGCGAAGGCAGUUCACUGGACUGCAACUGACACUGAGGCUCGAAAGUGUGGGUAUCAAACAGGAUUAGAUACCCUGGUAGUC
rnacentral:rRNA from 1 species